AAUCCUGAAUGUUUUACUUUUGGCUGAACUCAUCGCCCUCAGUGUUCACACUCAUGACAUGACAGCAGAUUUUUCUGACAUCAGCAACAUUCUGACCGACCAGAACAGCAACAGCGAGUUUCCCUCCAUGAACGCCAACUUCACUGAAACGGCUCCACGAGCUGAAGACACUUUAAGGGAAAUUGUGUCCUACAGAACGAACAAACAUCAGUUGUUCCUGUUCAUCCAGGGGCUGCGGAAGAAGAGAAGAGCAGAUCCACUAGUGAUGGAUGAUUAGGAUCUGUGUUCACUGUGAUAUUAUUCACCAACAAUAAUGUAGCUUAUGGUGUUACAUAAAAUCCUAAAGAUGAAAUGUACACUUCCAACUGUUGUGACCUGCAUCUAAUAACACAACUAUUUUAUCGCUUGUACUCUGUGUUUUUCUUUCUUGUUAAAACUCUGACGUGAUAAACAAACGUUUUUCUUUUUGUUUGUUGUUUUUUUUUUUUGUAUUUUUGCGGAGAAUCGGUUGAUGCGUUCUGAUUGUGUAUUAAUGUGACUUUUACUACGAAACUUUAUGGAGUUCCAGUUGUGUCCGGUAAUAGUGGAUUAAGUUCUAUCUUGGUAAAAUUAUAUUUCCAAUUAUUUACUAUCAUUUGUAAUAAAGUGAUGCCAACACCACGGA